GACAGAGGGUGCAAACGUUGCUCGGAAUUACUGGGCGUAAAGCGCGUGUAGGCGGACCACCAAGUCAGGCGUGAAAUCCCUGGGCUCAACCCAGGAACUGCACCUGAAACUGGCGGUCUUGAGUGGUGGAGAGGGAAGCAGAAUUCCUGGUGUAGAGGUGAAAUUCGUAGAUAUCAGGAGGAACACCGGUGGCGAAGGCGGCUUCCUGGACACUAACUGACGCUGAGACGCGAAAGCGUGGGGAGCAAACAGGAUUAGAUACCCUGGUAGUCCACGCCGUAAACGAUGAGUGCUGGGUGUCGCGGGUUUUGACCCCUGCGGUGCCGUAGCUAACGCGUUAAGCACUCCGCCUGGGGAGUACGGCCGCAAGGCUAAA
rnacentral:rRNA from 1 species